rnacentral:rRNA from 1 species
UACAGAGGAUGCAAGCGUUAUCCGGAAUGAUUGGGCGUAAAGCGUCUGUAGGUGGCUUUUUAAGUCCGCCGUCAAUCCCAGGCUCAACUCUGGACAGGCGGUGGAAACUACCAAGCUGGAGUACGGUAGGGCAGAGGGAAUUCCGUUGGAGCGGUGAAAUGCGUAGAGAUCGGAAAGAACACCAACGGCGAAAGCACUCUGCUGGCCGACACUGACACUGAGAGACGAAGCUAGGGAGCGAAUGG